rnacentral:rRNA from 1 species
UACGGGGGGGGCAAGCGUUGUUCGGAAUUACUGGGCGUAAAGGGCUCGUAGGCGGCCAACUAAGUCGGAUGUGAAAUCCCCAGGCUUAACCUGGGAACUGCAUCCGAUACUGGAUGGCUUGAAUUCGGGAGAGGGAUGCAGAAUUCCAGGUGUAGCGGUGAAAUGCGUAGAUAUCUGGAGGAACACCGGUGGCGAAGGCGGCAUCCUGGACCGGUAUUGACGCUGAUGCGCGAAAGCCAGGGGAGCAAACGGG